AUAGGUAAACAGGCUCUGUAUCCGUGGCAGCGGCCGUGGCAGGCUGGCUGGGUACCGGCUGCCGCUGACCCAGGAGAAGCUGCCUGUCUACAUCAGCCUGGGCUGCAGCGCGCUGCCGCCGCGGGGCCGGCAGAGCAGAACUCCUCUAGGGAACCUGGAUGGGAAACAGCCAUGGCCAAGGACAUCCUGGGUGAAGCAGGGCUACACUUUGAUGAACUGAACAAGCUGAGGGUGUUGGACCCAGAGGUUACCCAGCAGACCAUAGAGCUGAAGGAAGAGUGCAAAGACUUUGUGGACAGUGAGUAUUGGGGAGAUACAGUGCCACUCAGCUUUGAGCUGCCAUUUCAACUGUACCCCAGGCUCAUCUUGGCCCUGCCACAGUGGAGCUGCUGGCUCCCUGGAGGUUGAAUCUGGCGUCUGUGAGUUCCCACGUGCUACCCUUUUCUGUCUGCCCUCUUGUGCUCUCAUGUGUCCCCAACAGGGCACCAGUCAAACCAAACACUGGGAUGGGGAGGGGAGGGUGUUUUUAGAUAUGCCAUCUUUCAUUUCUUGCU
rnacentral:sRNA from 1 species